AUAUUAUUUCAAUUAUACUUCACCUAUAUGAAUAAACUGAUUUUGGAGGUUUUAUGCACUAAAAGUACACUUUGGGCACUUCCUUUUUUAUUUUAGCAUUUCAAUUGGUCAAGCUAGACAUGGUAUCUUCUAUAUUCCACUUCUUUUAGCAGUCACAAGUUGGCUAAAACUCGAUAAGCAAAGCUUGGGCUCGGGCUUGAGCUAGCUUAAGCUAUACUCGUUUGCACCCCUACCUGUGAUUCAUGUGACUAAUCAUUGAGUUCUGCUGGAUCUAUUUCUCCCUUUUCAAGAGUGUUUGGAUGUUUCAGCUGAUUGGAUUCUUCUGGUGCUUGUUCUCUGUAGAUAUGGCUGAUGACUGCUGGCUUGCAACAUGCAAGGAUAACAUGAAUUGUGAUAUAACGUCUCCAUACUAUGGUGAAAACCGUAUUAUGGGGGAUUAUGCAUUUUUUAACACAAGUUGCAAACCUCUUCAACCAUCUUAAAUAACUCUCUGGUAGUAAGCAUUUUAUUAUUUUUCAAUCAGUUAGCUCGCUUGGUCAAAACCUCAAGACAAGUACCUACUUAUGGGAUUCUUGAACAGGUAUUAUUCUAGUUUCUUCUUCUAGGCAACAUAUAUCUUCACUCAAUGACAUUAAGAGUAGAAAUGAGGGUAAAAAGGAGGGAUGCAGAGGUAUGGAUGUCCCACAAGAUGCUUCCUGAAGAUCUGAAGGAAGGUGUGACACUCUAUGAACAAAAGAAAACAGGAAGUCAAUGAAGAAUCUCUUGUUCACAAGCUGCCCGAGGACUUAUGGAAGGACAUAAAGUUCAAUGGACAAUACAACCGGCAACCAAACUGCCAAAUUGUUCAUGUAAAAUAACAUCAGGCAUAUAUAAUAAUAUCUCAUACUGCUCCAAGUAUAGAAAAAAACCCACAAAUCAGUAGCAUCACAAGGCUGUUUGGAAGGUUUUAUUAUCAAACCCAGCAACCUAUUCCUUAUAUUGCCUUUUCCAUUGUAAUUGACCCGUUUAUUUUUAUUUUGAUUACAUUGUAAUAUUGAGUUUGGACAUAUGUUAAUAUAUAAGGGUAUCUUUUGCAUUUUUCUUACUA